rnacentral:lncRNA from 1 species
ACUUUUGUCUUAAACUAGCUCAUGGAAGUAGAAUAACAUCACACGCAAACAUUUAUCUACGAUACUAGGAGAACUUGUAUUCACCACGAGUUGUUGGUUCUUCAGGAAUUCAAUGUUUCCCAUGUUCAUUUAUAAAGUGUUAGCAUAUUUCAUAAUGUGACUCCUCUGGAGCCUAUAAACAUGGAAUUCAACUUAUGCCAAUGUCUAUUUGUUUUUCUGCUGCUUUAAUACAGGCUGAAAUCAACGCAUUUAAGAAGAAAGUUUCACAAAUUGAUGUCUUGAAGGAGCAAAUUGAAUUUCUAAUGCAAAUGCAAAAUGCUACCGAAAACUAGGUAAAAUUUCAUUCUAGUUCAUCACAAGCUUAAUCAGAAUACUAAUUAUAAUAUUUACAAUUGGUCCAAAUGUUUUAAGUUCUGAUUUAUGUUAUGUUAUAGAGCACAUUUCAAUUGUAAAACAUGAUUUUGCAAAAGAUUUAAUUCAAUUUGUUAAUCAUUUUUGUUUCUAUCUAAUUUGAGUACACUACAUGAUGUGAACAUAGAGGAAGAGAAUAGCAUGCAACUCUUUAUCAUUUGGAAGUUGCCUUGGUGAUUUAGAUAUUAACAUUGGAGAAUAACUCAGGUAAAUGCAAUACUCUGGUUGUGUUCAUCCUAAGUACUCUACCAAUUAUUCAAUAAUUAAGUGUUGUCUCACAUUUCUAAUAUGAUUUUUUAUAGUUGUGAAUUUGUAUGUGUGUGGAAUAAGGAAUACCUUUGUAAUGUUAUUUUAUGCAUUUAAAUUAGAUACAAUAUCAGACCAAAUUAU